ensembl:snRNA U6 U6 spliceosomal RNA
GUGCUCACUUCGGCAGCACAUAUACUAAAAUUGGAACGAUACAGAUAAGAUUAGCAUGGCCCCUGCACAAGGAUGACACGCAAAUUCAUGAAGUGUUCCAUAUUUUU